CCUACGGGAGGCAGCAGUCGAGAAUCAUUCACAAUGGGGGAAACCCUGAUGGUGCGACGCCGCGUGGGGGAAUGAAGGUCUUCGGAUUGUAAACCCCUGUCAUGUGGGAGCAAAUUAAAAAGAUAGUACCACACGAGGAAGAGACGGCUAACUCUGUGCCAGCAGCCGCGGUAAUACAGAGGUCUCAAGCGUUGUUCGGAAUCACUGGGCGUAAAGCGGGCGUAGGCUGUUUCGUAAGUCGUGUGUGAAAGGCGCGGGCUCAACCCGCGGACGGCACAUGAUACUGCGAGACUAGAGUAAUGGAGGGGGAACCGGAAUUCUCGGUGUAGCAGUGAAAUGCGUAGAUAUCGAGAGGAACACUCGUGGCGAAGGCGGGUUCCUGGACAUUAACUGACGCUGAGGCACGAAGGCCAGGGGAGCGAAAGGGAUUAGAUACCCCUGUAGUC
rnacentral:rRNA from 1 species